UACGUAGGGAGCAAGCGUUGUUCGGAUUUACUGGGCGUAAAGGGCGCGUAGGCGGCGCGGUAAGUCACUUGUGAAAUCUCUGAGCUUAACUCAGAACGGCCAAGUGAUACUGCAGUGCUAGAGUGUAGAAGGGGCAAUCGGAAUUCUUGGUGUAGCGGUGAAAUGCGUAGAUAUCAAGAGGAACACCUGAGGUGAAGACGGGUUGCUGGUCUAACACUGACGCUGAGGCGCGAAAGCCAGGGGAGCAAAC
rnacentral:rRNA from 1 species